rnacentral:rRNA from 1 species
AGAGUUUGAUCAUGGCUCAGGAUGAACGCUAGCUACAGGCUUAACACAUGCAAGUCGAGGGGAAACGACAUCGAAAGCUUGCUUUUGAUGGGCGUCGACCGGCGCACGGGUGAGUAACGCGUAUCCAACCUGCCCACCACUUGGGGAUAACCUUGCGAAAGUAAGACUAAUACCCAAUGACGUCUCUAGAAGAUAUCUGAAAGAGAUUAAAGAUUUAUCGGUGAUGGAUGGGGAUGCGUCUGAUUAGCUUGGUUGGCGGGGUAACGGCCACAAGGCGACGAUCAGUAGGGGUUCUGAGAGGAAGGUCCCCCCANAUUGGAACUGAGACACGGUCCAAACUCCUACGGGAGCA